GAUCCCCUCAAAGCGUUCCAGGAAUUGAGGAUAAUCCUCUUGAAAGAAACAUGGAAAGGCAAUCUACCAACUGUCAAUCACAGACAGGCGACCCAAGUUGGGAAUCAUCAAGGAGUCUGACUUGGGGUGUCAGUGCUGAGAAGGAUCUAUUUGAGCGCGACACGCUAUCAGCGGCAAAUCUGAAGAUGGGUCCAUUGUCAGACUGGAUGCACAUAUUCAUGAGUGAGCUACGCUCACAUCCAUGCUUUUAUAUUGUUUUGUCUUUUCCUUGGGCCGUUGCACAUGGUAUUUAAACAUAUGCCACUUUUAAAUUACAAUAAAUGGAUUGAAAAGAUUGA